CCUUCCCCAGGAGCUGGUACCUGCUCCUGUCUUGAGCACAAGAAAGCACCAGCAUCAAUAGAGAAAAUGUGACCUGAAGCUAGGGAUUCAACAGGCUGAGCUUAUAAGGGCCAUGGGAUGUGUAUAUAUGCUUGUCCUGAGGCAAGAUUGAAAUAUUGCCCCCUGUUCUGCCAAGCCUAUUCAACCCAAGCACAGUAAAUCCUGAGCCCGAAUAGUAGUUCCAAAUGCUGGGUUCACUAAGGGUCCACAGGAUAAAAGCCUGGGAAUAUAAAACUACAUUUCCUUGGAGAUGCAGCGCAAAGAAAAGAAAAGACUCCUUUGAUUGUUCAACC
rnacentral:lncRNA from 1 species